rnacentral:rRNA from 1 species
UACGAAGGGUGCAAACGUUGUUCGGAUUUACUGGGCGUAAAGGGCGCGUAGGCGGCAAUUCAAGUCAUCUGUGAAAUCUCCGGGCUUAACUCGGAACGGUCAGAUGAUACUGCUUUGCUAGAGUGCGGAAGGGGCAAUCGGAAUUCUUGGUGUAGCGGUGAAAUGCGUAGAUAUCAAGAGGAACACCUGAGGUGAAGACGGGUUGCUGGGCCGACACUGACGCUGAGUGCGCGAAAGCCAGGGGAGCAAACGGG